CCCGCCUGGUACAUGAAGCACAUUCCAACAGAAUGCAGCUUUAUUAGCACAGCCAUAAACAUUUAUUGUUUUUAUUCAUCUGCCUGAUUCUUCCCUUUGCCAUCUGGAGAUGGGCUUUAAAACUUCAGCAGAAAGAAAAUUCUCCUCUGUCUCCCUCUUGGAAUCACCUUGAAGCCAGGCCUGCUCCACAUGGGUCACGUCCUCCAGCCAUGGCUGCGCAGCACCACGCAGCCGCACCCACGCCCAGGUCAGCCUGCACAAGCCAGAACGUGACGGACAGUCAGUUCAAACAGGAGAGAGAAUGUGAAGAUGCUAAGCCCCCUUCUCGGAUGUCAGGGCCCCGGGAAGGGGAAGGAGGAGAAUCUGGGCACUGAAGACACACCUCUCCUCCUGAACAAGCCGUGAUGAAGCAAUAGGCAUUGGGUGACUGAUCUUUAGUUGAAUUUAAAAUAGUGCAGCAGAAACCCCCUCAGCAAACGUUAAAGAAAUUUGAUCCUUUAUCACCUUCUAUUUAUUUUCUGACAUGAUAUGAUAUGCAAACAACUGUUGCUAAACCUGAGAAGCUCUGACCUUUAGUUUCUAUCCAAGCACUUCACAGUAGUAAAAAGAACAUAUGCCUCCUCGGUGAACAACAAAAACUCAUUCUCCUCUAAGCCCCGAACUUUCCUUUGCGUAAAAAUAAUCAUAGUGCUGAUAAUAAAAUUAAUACAGGCUCUCAGGAAAUCUAUCAUUGUUAUAACUGAAAAUGAACCAAUGAAGAAAAAGGUGAAGAGAGACCCUUCUGGCUAAAUUGACCGAAACACUCUGCAACAAUGGAGAAUAAUAAAAUACAAUUAAGACUGAAAGUGACCUGAGGCUUUAAGUAUCAGAGUACUUAAUGGGAUAUGAAGACCAUGGAAAGGUCGGCAGCUCAGACGUGACCUCCUGGUUAGAGUAAUACAGGUUAAAAACCCGUCCUCCUCCCUGCCUCCCUCCAAAAAACCUUGUCGGAACCUUUUCAGCGUAACUUAACGUUUGUGAAAUGUAAAUUGCUGCUCAAUUUGUAUUAAAAUUCAACAGAUUUUUUCAUUUAUUAAAUUGACAAAAAUUUCUAUAAGGUAACCAUCAAUACAGGCAAAGGCGUGGUGAAAGAAGGAGUUCACAUUUCUGAAAAGUAAUCAGCCCACUCUAUCAAGUAGCUCGAGAAAGUUCCUAACUUUGUAGCUAACAAGUAUCCUUAAAACAAACAAACAAACAAAGACUUGAAAACAAAUUAAGAGCGUCAAAAAUAGAUAUAUGCAAAAAAAGUUCACACUGACACACACACAAAAUAGGAGAAUGGUUUAAUUACAGCACAUCCCAGAGAAGAAAUAUGCUGCCACUUAAAACUAGGUUUUAGAAGACACUUAAUGACAUAGGGGAAAAAAUCUCAUAAAAUGAUAUUCGGUAAAAAAGACAAAAAAAGGUAGAUAUGAAAUUACAGAACAUUACUCUUUUCAAUAAAUGCCUUGAAAGAAAGCAAGUGGAAGAUGCAGAGACACAAAGAUGAGUUGAGAAAGCAUGUAGAUUGCUCCAGACAAACCCUGGCCUUAAGAACCUCCAGGUGACGGGACUCAGCUCCAAAGAGGUGAGGUAGAGACAGUGGGAGCCGGAGCCCACCCCGGGAGCGGCGCUGGGGUGAAGGGGCUCUUCAGUUGCUGCUUGCCUGGGACUGAGAAUUGGUUCUGUGGUAAAGGGGGCAGGGCCUUGGCCAGCAGUGCAUCUAGAAGGCGUGCUAUGAACAAAGGGGCUCUAGCUGGGAUUGUUGCCAAGGGGUCCACCCUAAGGGGGACCGUGAAGGACCUUCUCUAAAGAAAGCCAACUGAGCACGUUGUAAUUUAACAGCUAUUUCUACCGGAAGUUCCGCUUGGUAAUGCCCACGGAUCGGCAUUGCGCUGACUCUAAAUUUGCCCAUCCAAUUGUUGUUUUCCAUUCAUUAAAAAGGCUUUGUGGUAUACGAGGAAAAGGUCAACAAAUUUCACUGGAAGAGUCCAGACCUUCUGAUAGUAUGGUUUAUUCUGGAAUAUCCAAGGAGUGUUCAAUGUUGAUCAGAAGAGGCCAAGCAUCUUCACAAUCAACAUAUUAAUCUGAUAUUUUCCAAUCCCUCUUAGGAAACUCCGGAUUUAAAUGAUAGGGUGCUGUCUGUUAUCAAUUCCAAAUAUACAGUGUAGAAAUAUAGUGGAAUGAAAAUUCACGAACCCAGCGUUUUUGCCACAGAGACUUUAAAAUGCUAAUGAAUAUGUCACUUGGAUUUUACAUUGAUGAGGUGAAGCCACUGCAACUCAAAUAAACAUCUUCUGAGGGGUAUGGGCUGGAAGAUGACUACAGAAUAACACAUGCAAAUUGCAUGCAUUCUCUGAAGAAAAAAAACUAGAACAUUGCUUAGUUAAAUAUUCAUAAAUUAAUGUCUUAAAAUGUUCAGCUUUAUAUGCUGGCUUACAUUCUGCAAAUAAAGGUGUU
rnacentral:lncRNA from 1 species